rnacentral:rRNA from 1 species
AGAGUUUGAUCAUGGCUCAGGACGAACGCUGGCGGCGUGCCUAACACAUGCAAGUCGAGCGGGGAUUUGGGAAGCUUACUUCCUGGAUUCUAGCGGCGGACGGGUGAGUAACGCGUGAGCAACCUGCCUUUCACAGGGGGAUAACGCAUCGAAAGAUGUGCUAAUACCGCGUAAGACCACGGUGUCGCAUGACACAGGGGUCAAAGGAGCAAUCCGGUGAGAGAUGGGCUCGCGUCCGAUUAGCUAGUUGGUGAGAUAACAGCCCACUAAGGCGACGAUCGGUAGCCGACCUGAGAGGGUGAUCGGCCACAUUGGAACUGAGAGACGGUCCAGACUCCUACGGGAGGCAGCAGUGGGGAAUAUUGGGCAAUGGGUGAAAGCCUGACCCAGCAACGCCGCGUGAGGGAAGAAGGGUUUCGGCUCGUAAACCUCUGUCCUAUGGGACGAAGGAAGUGACGGUAUCAUAGGAGGAAGCCCCGGCUAACUACGUGCCAGCAGCCGCGGUAAUACGUAGGGGGCGAGCGUUGUCCGGAAUGAUUGGGCGUAAAGGGCGCGUAGGCGGCCCGUUAAGUCUGGAGUGAAAGUCCUGCUUUCAAGGUGGGAAUUGCUUUGGAUACUGAUGGGCUGGAGUGCAGGAGAGGAAAGCGGAAUUACCGGUGUAGCGGUGAAAUGCGUAGAGAUCGGUAGGAACACCAGUGGCGAAGGCGGCUUUCUGGACUGAAACUGACGCUGAGGCGCGAAAGCGUGGGGAGCAAACGGGAUUAGAUACCCUGGUAGUCCACGCGGUAAAUGAUGAAUGCUAGGUGUAGGAGGUAUCGACCCCUUC